CGAAUCGCAUGGCCUUGUGCCGGCGAUGGUUCAUUCAAAUUUCUGCCCUAUCAACUUUCGAUGGUAGGAUAGUGGCCUACCAUGGUUUCAACGGGUAACGGGGAAUUAGGGUUCUAUUCCGGAGAGGGAGCUUGAGAAACGGCUGCCACAUCCAAGGAAGGCAGCAGGCGCGCAAAUUACCCAAUCCCGACACGGGGAGGUAGUGACAAUAAAUACUGAUACAGGGCUCUUUUGGGUCUUGUAAUUGGAAUGAGUACAAUUUAAAUCCCUUAACGAGGAACAAUUGGAGGGCAAGUCUGGUGCCAGCAGCCGCGGUAAUUCCAGCUCCAAUAGCGUAUAUUAAAGUUGUUGCAGUUAAAAAGUUCGUAGUUGAACCUUGAGCCUGGCUGGCCGGUCCGCCUCACCGCGUGCACUGGUCCGGCCGGGUUUUUCCUUCUGGGGAGCCGCAUGCCCUUCACUGGGUGUGUCGGGGAACCAGGGCUUUUACUUUGAAAAAAUUAGAGUGUUCAAAGCAGGCCUAUGCUCGAAUACAUUAGCAUGGAAUAAUAGAAUAGGACGUGUGGUCUAUUUUGUUGGUUUCUAGGACCGCCGUAAUGAUUAAUANGGAUAGUCGGGGGCAUCAGUAUUCAAUUGUCAGANGUGAAAUUCUUUGAUUUAUUGAAGACUACUACUGCGAAAGCAUUUGCCAAGGAUGUUUUCAUUUAUUAAUGAACCAAAAGUUU
rnacentral:rRNA from 1 species